rnacentral:rRNA from 1 species
GACGAACGCUGGCGGCGUGCCUAAUACAUGCAAGUUGAGCGCUGAAGGUUGGUACUUGUACCGACUGGAUGAGCAGCGAACGGGUGAGUAACGCGUGGGGAAUCUGCCUUUGAGCGGGGGACAACAUUUGGAAACGAAUGCUAAUACCGCAUAAAAACUUUAAACACAAGUUUUAAGUUUGAAAGAUGCAAUUGCAUCACUCAAAGAUGAUCCCGCGUUGUAUUAGCUAGUUGGUGAGGUAAAGGCUCACCAAGGAGAUGAUACAUAGCCGACCUGAGAGGGUGAUCGGCCACAUUGGGACUGAGACACGGCCCAAACUCCUACGGGAGGCAGCAGUAGGGAAUCUUCGGCAAUGGACGAAAGUCUGACCGAGCAACGCCGCGUGAGUGAAGAAGGUUUUCGGAUCGUAAAACUCUGUUGGUAGAGAAGAACGUUGGUGAGAGUGGAAAGCUCAUCAAGUGACGGUAACUACCCAGAAAGGGACGGCUAACUACGUG